rnacentral:ncRNA from 1 species
UGAAGAAAUUAAACCAAGAACAAGUAAACGGUGGGAGUAACUAUGUCGAAUUUCUUAAGGUAUCCAAAUGCCUUGUAAUUUAACUAAUCAUGCACAUGAAUGGAUUAAAAUGAUUCCCACUAUCCCUAUCUACUAUCAAGAGAAACCACAGCCAAGGGGACGAGCUUGGAAUAAUCAGUGGGGAAAGAAGAACUUGUGGAGGUUGACUCUAGUCCAAAUUUUUUAAAUGACUUGAGAGGUGUAGAUUAAGUGGGACCCAUUUUCGGUGCAAGUGAAAUAACACUAAUUUUAACAUCAUUUUACUUAUUUUGUAGGGUGGAGAUGGGGCAUUGCCCCUGUUUUUUUGAUAAGACAUGUUUCAAGGGUUUGAUCUAGGUGGAAAACAUUUUCAGGUGGGGAGUUUUCUUGUUCCUUUAACGUUAUUUUACUUGUUCCUUGAAUGCUUGUGGAAUAAAUGAAUAUCUUACAAAUGGACGA